CCUACGGGUGGCAGCAGUGAGGAAUAUUGGUCAAUGGGCGAGAGCCUGAACCAGCCAAGUCGCGUGAGGGAGUACUGCCCUAUGGGUUGUAAACCUCUUUUGUCGGGGAGCAAAAGCCGGACGUGUCCGGCUGUGAGAGUACCCGAAGAAAAAGCAUCGGCUAACUCCGUGCCAGCAGCCGCGGUAAUACGUAGGGGGCGAGCGUUAUCCGGAUUUACUGGGUGUAAAGGGAGCGUAGACGGCGUCGCAAGUCUGAAGUGAAAGCCCGUGGCUCAACCGCGGAACCGCUUUGGAAACUGCGAGGCUGGAGUGCUGGAGAGGUAAGCGGAAUUCCUGGUGUAGCGGUGAAAUGCGUAGAUAUCAGGAGGAACACCGGUGGCGAAGGCGGCUUACUGGACAGUGACUGACGUUGAGGCUCGAAAGCGUGGGGAGCGAACAGGAUUAGAUACCCGAGUAGUC
rnacentral:rRNA from 1 species